ACAUCAUGGAUGUCUGCCAAUUGGGCGAGUUAUUUGUUUUGGAGAAACUGAACAAGAAGUGAAAGAUGAAAUAAGUACGAAAAGUACGAAUGUGCGGCCUAUAGAAAGUUGUCUCUCUGCCUCGGAAAUAAGCGAAGAUGAAGUCGCUGAGAAAAAGCAACCUGACCCAAAGGGCCAUACUGAUGUUAUUAAAAGAAAAGUCGAAUUACUGAAGUUAAAGCAAAUAGAAAAAAAAAGAAAAAGAGAUACUGUUGACAAAAUAAAUACAACGAAGAAAUUUGAAAUAGAGGCCACACCGAGCGAGGAAA
rnacentral:lncRNA from 13 species